rnacentral:lncRNA from 1 species
UCCCACUUGAUUUCCCAUCUCAAUAUAAUGCAAAUAUUCAGAAUUAGACCAUCCCAGACCCAACGGCAAAGCUUGGUGAUGCAGGGGCUGCUAUUUCUCCUGAUUUGUGAGUAUACAUGUUCUUUCUCGGUGGUCUUACAACUUUUGUAUUUAGACAAUCUGUGCGUUGACAGUGUCUCUGUCUCUCGUGGUUGUAUCUUUGCCUUUUUGGAGAGAAGUC